UACGUAGGGUGCGAGCGUUAAUCGGAAUUACUGGGCGUAAAGCGUGCGCAGGCGGUUUUGUAAGCCAGAUGUGAAAGCCCCGGGCUCAACCUGGGAAUGGCAUUUGGGACUGCAAGGCUUGAGUGCGGCAGAGGAGACGUGGAAUUCCUGGUGUAGCAGUGAAAUGCGUAGAUAUCAGGAGGAAUACCGAUGGCGAAGGCAGGUCUCUGGGCUGACACUGACGCUCAUGCA
rnacentral:rRNA from 1 species